rnacentral:tRNA from 2 species
GCGGAAGUGGUGGAAUUGGUAGACACGCUACCUUGAGGUGGUAGUGGGAGUAAUCCUUUGGGGGUUCGAGUCCCCUCUUUCGCA